UACGUAGGGGGCAAGCGUUAUCCGGAUUUACUGGUGUAAAGGGAGCGUAGACGGCAAUGCAAGUCUGGAGUGAAAGGCGGGGGCCCAACCCCCGGACUGCUCUGGAAACUGUAUAGCUGGAGUGCAGGAGAGGUAAGUGGAAUUCCUAGUGUAGCGGUGAAAUGCGUAGAUAUGAGGAGGAACACCAGUGGCGAAGGCGGUCUGCUGGACAGCAACUGACGCUGAGGCGCGAAAGCGUGGGGAGCAAACAGG
rnacentral:rRNA from 1 species